ACGGCUCAGUAACACGUAGCUAACCUACCCUAUAGUUCAGGAUAACGUCGGGAAACUGACGCUAAUACUGGAUACGCGAAGUUUUCUGGAAUGAUUUUUCGUUUAAAGGCAACGCUGUAGGACGGGGCUGCGGCUGAUUAGGUUGUUGGCGGGGUAAAAGCCCACCAAGCCGAUGAUCAGUAAGGGCUCUUAGCGGAGAGGCCCUGAGAGGGGAUCUGAGACACCAUCCCCAGCCUUACGGGGUGCAGCAGUUAGGAAUUUUCUGCAAUGCGCGAAAGCGUGACAGAGCGAACCAGAGUGCGUUUCUAUAAUUGAAACGCUUUUGCCAGAUCUAACAAUUCUGGCGAAUAAGGACUGGGAGAGACUGGUGCCAGCCGCCGCGGUAAUCCCAGCAGUCCAAGUCGUAGCCACAAUUAUUGGGUCUAAAACAUCCGUAGCUCGCUGAGCAAGUCUUGUGUUAAAUCUGGCAUCUUAAGUGUCAGGCAGCAUAAGAUACUACUUGGCUUGAGACCGGGCGACGUAGGAAGUAUGAUUUGGGUAGCGGUAAAAUGCGUUGAUCCUCAUCAGACUAACAACAGCGAAGGCAUCCUGCGAGAACGGUUCUGACAGUGAGGGAUGAAGGCUAGGGGCGCAAAUUGGAUUAGAUACCCAAGUAGUCCUAGCAGUAAACCCUGCACACUAAACAUUGGUGCCUCUUCGAGAGGCGUCAGUGCUGAAGCGAAGGCGAAGAGUGUGCUACCUGGGAAGUAUAGUCGCAAGGCCGAAACUUAAAGGAAUUGGCGGGGGAGCA
rnacentral:rRNA from 1 species